rnacentral:rRNA from 1 species
AGAACUAACGCUGGUGGCGUGUCUUAGUCAUGCAAGUCGAACGAGAAAGUACCCUUCGGGGUGCGAGUAAAGUGGCGCACGGGUGAGUAGCACGUGGGUAACCUGCCUUGUGGUGGGGGAUAACCCUCCUAACGGAGGACUAAUACCGCAUGAUGUGUUUCCUUCGCAUGGAGGAUACAUCAAAGAGGCUUCGGUCUCGCCAUAAGAUGGACCCGCGGUUCAUUAGCUUGUUGGUGAGGUAACGGCUCACCAAGGCGACGAUGAAUAGCCGGCCUGAGAGGGUGAUCGGCCACACUGGAACUGAGAUAAGGUCCAGUCCCCUACGGGGGCCAGCAGUCUAGAAAUUUGCGCAAUGGGGGAAACCCUGACGCAGCGACGCCACGUGGAGGAUGAAGCCCCUAGGGGUGUAAACUCCUGUCAAGAGGGAAGAACUCGGUGAAUAACUUUCACCGUCUGACUGUACCUCUAAAGGAAGCUCCGGCUAACUCUGUGCCAGCAGCCGCGGUAAUACAGAGGGAGCAAGCGUUGUUCGGAUUUACUGGGCGUAAAGGGCGCGCAGGCGGGCGAAUAAGUCGGACGUGAAAAUUGUAGGCUCAACCUACAACCUGCGUCCGAAACUGUUCGUCUUGAGUACAGGAGAGGUGAGUGGAAUCUAUGGUGUAGCGGUGAAAUGCGUAGAUAUCAUAGAGAACACCGGUGGCGAAGGCGGCUCACUGGCCUGAUACUGACGCUGAGGCGCGAAAGCUAGGGGAGCGAACAGGAUUAGAUACCCUGGUAGUCCUAGCCGUAAACGAUGGGCACUAGGUGUUGGAGGUGUUGACCCCUUCAGUGCCGUAGCUAACGCAUUAAGUGCCCCGCCUGGGGAGUACGGUCGCAAGGCUG